ACUCCUACGGGAGGCAGCAGUGGGGAAUAUUGCACAAUGGGCGGAAGCCUGAUGCAGCGACGCCGCGUGAGGGAUGACGGCCUUCGGGUUGUAAACCUCUUUCAGCAGGGACGAAGCGUAAGUGACGGUACCUGCAGAAGAAGCACCGGCUAACUAUGUGCCAGCAGCCGCGGUAAUACGUAGGGUGCGAGCGUUGUCCGGAAUUACUGGGCGUAAAGAGCUCGUAGGCGGUUUGUCACGUCGUCUGUGAAAUCCUAGGGCUUAACCCUGGACGUGCAGGCGAUACGGGCUGACUUGAGUACUACAGGGGAGACUGGAAUUUCUGGUGUAGCGGUGGAAUGCACAGAUAUCAGGAAGAACACCGAUGGCGAAGGCAGGUCUCUGGGUAGUAACUGACGCUGAGGAGCGAAAGCAUGGGUAGCGAACAGGAUUAGAUACCCUGGUAGGCGUAGU
rnacentral:rRNA from 1 species